UACAGAGGGUGCGAGCGUUAAUCGGAAUUACUGGGCGUAAAGCGUGCGCAGGCGGUGAUGUAAGACAGAUGUGAAAUCCCCGGGCUCAACCUGGGAACUGCAUUUGUGACUGCAUCGCUAGAGUACGGCAGAGGGGGAUGGAAUUCCGCGUGUAGCAGUGAAAUGCGUAGAUAUGCGGAGGAACACCGAUGGCGAAGGCAAUCCCCUGGGCCUGUACUGACGCUCAUGCACGAAAGCGUGGGGAGCAAACAGG
rnacentral:rRNA from 1 species